AAUACCGUGGUGGCGACCGGCGCACGGGUGCGUAACGCGUAUGCAACCUGCCCCCAUCAGGGGAAUAGCCCGCCGAAAGGCGGAUUAAUGCCCCAUAGGCCCAGGGCGCCGCAUGGCGCUAUGGGUAAAGCUCCGGCGGAUGGGGAUGGGCAGUGCGUGCCAUUAGCGUAGUUGGGGCGGUAACGGCGCACCAAGGCGACGAUGGCUAGGGGGUCUGAGAGGAUGGUCCCCCACACUGGUACUGAGACACGGACCAGACUCCUACGGGAGGCAGCAGUGAGGAAUAUUGGUCAAUGGGCGGAAGCCUGAACCAGCCAUGCCGCGUGCAGGAUGACGGCCCUACGGGUUGUAAACUGCUUUUCCCCGGGAAGAAUAAGCCCCUCGUGAGGGGUGAUGCCGGUACCGGGGGAAUAAGGAUCGGCUAACUCCGUGCCAGCCGCUGC
rnacentral:rRNA from 1 species